rnacentral:rRNA from 1 species
ACUCCUACGGGAGGCAGCAGUGGGGAAUAUUGCACAAUGGGGGAAACCCUGAUGCAGCGACGCCGCGUGGAGGAAGAAGGUCUUCGGAUUGUAAACUCCUGUUGUUGAGGAAGAUAAUGACGGUACUCAACAAGGAAGUGACGGCUAACUACGUGCCAGCAGCCGCGGUAAAACGUAGGUCACAAGCGUUGUCCGGAAUUACUGGGUGUAAAGGGAGCGCAGGCGGGAAGACAAGUUGGAAGUGAAAUCUAUGGGCUCAACCCAUAAACUGCUUUCAAAACUGUUUUUCUUGAGUAGUGCAGAGGUAGGCGGAAUUCCCGGUGUAGCGGUGGAAUGCGUAGAUAUCGGGAGGAACACCAGUGGCGAAGGCGGCCUACUGGGCACCAACUGACGCUGAGGCUCGAAAGUGUGGGUAGCAAACAGGAUUAGAUACCCUGGUAGUCCACACCGUAAACGAUGAUUACUAGGUGUUGGAGGAUUGACCCCUUCAGUGCCGCAGUUAACACAAUAAGUAAUCCACCUGGGGAGUACGACCGCAAGGUUGAAACUCAAAGGAAUUGACGGGGGCCCGCACAAGCAGUGGAGUAUGUGGUUUAAUUCGACGCAACGCGAAGAACCUUACCAAGUCUUGACAUCCCUUGACGAACAUAGAAAUAUGUUUUCUCUUCGGAGCAAGGAGACAGGUGGUGCAUGGUUGUCGUCAGCUCGUGUCGUGAGAUGUUGGGUUAAGUCCCGCAACGAGCGCAACCC